rnacentral:rRNA from 1 species
UACGUAGGCAGCGAGCGUUGUUCGGAAUUACUGGGCGUAAAGGGUGCGUAGGCGGCGCGGUAAGUCGGGUGUGAAAUCUUGGAGCUUAACUCCGAAACUGCAUUCGAUACUGCCGUGCUUGAGGACUGGAGAGGAGACUGGAAUUUACGGUGUAGCGGUGAAAUGCGUAGAUAUCGUAAGGAAGACCAGUGGCGAAGGCGGGUCUCUGGACAGUUCCUGACGCUGAGGCACGAAGGCCAGGGGAGCAAACGGG